UAGCAGGGUAGGGUGUGCCGGGCGGGUGCCCUUCUGCUCUCUUGCCGGCAGUUACGACAGGCCAUUGGAUGUACGACAACGAGGUGGUGCCGGAAGGGCUGACAUCACCCUUCUGCCCGUGUGUGCAUGCGUGUACCCAAGGGGAGGGUGGAGCGGAGUUGCGUGCUGGACCGAGGGCGUUAUCCUGCCAAGGGUGUUAACGAUGAUUUACUUCAAUAAGUGCAUAGCUGUGGAUAUCAGGACAAGGUUAUAACUGAACUAGAGAGGAGAACAUCACCCAGAGCUCUUGGACUUGGAGCUGGAUGCAGGAACUGAUAAGACUCUGAAUUUCCCCUUUUGAGGAGAGAGAUGCUGUGGAAAGAUUGCAUGAAGAGGGAGAGAGACCCUGUUGUUACGAUGUCCCUGUUAUCUGAAGAGAUGACUCCAAUCCCACCUGUCAUCUGACUGCAACCACAUGAGAGGCCCUAGGUGAGACCAGCAGAACUGCCCAUAUGAUCUCAGUCAACCAACAGAAGCACAAGGGUCAUUCCAGUGCCAUCUAUUGAUGAAGCUUAAAAUUCUGCCACCUAGCAAAGGAGAAGCUUUUGCAGGAUCCAAGUCCAUUACCACAAAAUGCAGGGAAAAGAAGAGUGAAUUUAGAAUGGAGAACCAAUAAAUUGAUAAUUUGCACACCUUA